AUCCUACUGAAGAGUCCCGAAUAGGAAGAAACGUGUGUCAAACUGGAU
rnacentral:hammerhead_ribozyme from 1 species